GAUGAACGCUGGCGGCGUGCUUAACACAUGCAAGUCGAGCGAAGCACUUAGGAAAGAUUCUUCGGAUGAUUUCCUAUUUGACUGAGCGGCGGACGGGUGAGUAACGCGUGGGUAACCUGCCUCAUACAGGGGGAUAACAGUUAGAAAUGACUGCUAAUACCGCAUAAGACCACAGCACCGCAUGGUGCAGGGGUAAAAACUCCGGUGGUAUGAGAUGGACCCGCGUCUGAUUAGUUAGUUGGUGGGGUAACGGCCUACCAAGGCGACGAUCAGUAGCCGACCUGAGAGGGUGACCGGCCACAUUGGGACUGAGACACGGCCCAAACUCCUACGGGAGGCAGCAGUGGGGAAUAUUGCACAAUGGGGGAAACCCUGAUGCAGCGACGCCGCGUGAGCGAAGAAGUAUUUCGGUAUGUAAAGCUCUAUCAGCAGGGAAGAAAAUGACGGUACCUGACUAAGAAGCCCCGG
rnacentral:rRNA from 1 species